AAGCUGUUAUGCGGGCAAUCUCUUACUAGCCUCUUAAACCUCGCCCAGGCAUCACUGAGCGAUUCAUCGAUAUCCUAUUCAAAAUUAGUGAUCAGUUUCCUCCUUCU